ACUUAGCUAUCAAGAUAAUAACAUGUAACACAUAAUCUGAAAAGGGAAAUCAGAUCCAAAAGGAUGGUGGAAUAGAGCACUGCAAGUGAGCUCUUAAGCUCAAAACUAUACCCACUGGACGACGGACGCAGACCAUUCAAUUUUGUAAAGUGGAGUCAAGAUUCUUCUUUGGGCCAUUCUUGUUUAGAGAAGAAAGAGCAGCGUAUCAGCUCAUCUGGUAUGCAAUAGCGGCACAUUUAUUGAAGUUCUAGAUUUGUAAAGAAAUUAUUCAAGAACAUGAAAAAGGGGAAAAGCUAGAUUUUUCUACUACAAGAUAUCGUGGAAUUGGAGUUGACAUCACAAGCUAGACGUUUUUUGCAUUCUCUACUAUACUUGCCACCGCAGUAGACAAGUUGCUGAAUUGUGCAGUGUUGGAAAAAAAAAGAAGGAAAAAUUACCUUAUUACUGGUCAAUGCACUUAUGCUACUUACCCUUGUCUUGUAAUAGCAAAUUUUAUCUUUCUUUUUGUAUACGGUCGAGAUCGAGUUCUCCUACGACAUGAAAGGACGGACUCGGAACAUGACAAUGUAAGGCUGAAGAUCGGCACCGAGUCACACCGGGCUAGAUCCCGGGGUUAGGAUACCUGCCUUCGAGAAUAUUGAGUCCGAGACCUCGGAGUCGACCCUAGCCCCGAACGAGCUCUAAGAAAUAUUGUUAGCAUAACCAACAUAAGACCGAAAUAUCUGUAACCGGGCAGAUAUUGCGGAGGGAAUAUCGGCGUGUAUCAGUAAGGAACCGGGUAUCAACAAAUCAAGGGAUUUUUACCCUUUAUAGAAUUGUACCUAAAGUAGGACUCCUCUACUAUAUAAAGGGGGUCUGAUAAAUAUAUAGAACACAUUGUAACACGCAUUCAAAGCCAAUACAUCAUUAUAUUUCUCUUUACGCUCUUGUUCUUCUGUGUCCUGACACUGAUCGAAGUGUACCUGGCUCGAGGGUGAUUAACCUUCCAAGGCUAAGACUGUUCAAUUCG